GAUUCUCCGAUUUUAUUAUAAAUAAUAAUUUCCUUUGAACCGCAGGUAAACCAAGUCGAAGUCGCCGCCACCGCCAUCGCCAAACCGAGAGGGCUUCUUCCGUCCUCAAGAAGUCGCUCCGAUCUUCAUUCCUCCCGCCGCCUCCGCCGUUUUCUUCGUCGGGAGGAAGUCGGAACCCUAGAUUUGGGAGCUUCACCGCCGGCCGAGACGAUGUCCUUCCGGAGCUCCGAUAGCAACCAGGAAUCGCCGCAGAACCGCGAGCAGGACCGCCUGUACAACCCCUACAAGGACCUCCAGGCCCCGAUCCAGAGCCUCUACAAGCUCCCCACCUCCCCGGAGUUCCUCUUCGCCGAGGAGUCCCUCCGCCAGCGCCGCUCCUGGGGCGAGAACCUCACCUUCUACACCGGCAUCGGCUACCUCUCCGGCUCCGUCGCCGGCGCCUCCUCCGGCCUCGUCUCCGGCGUCAGGGCCAUCGAGCCCUCCGACACCCUCAAGCUCAAGAUCAACCGGCUGCUCAACGCCUCGGGGCACUCCGGCCGCACCUGGGGGAACCGGCUCGGGGUGAUUGGCCUGAUGUACGCGGGGCUGGAGAGCGGGAUCGUGGCGUUGAGAGACGAGGAUGAUUUGUGGAGUAGCGUCGGGGCGGGGCUCGGGACGGGAGCCAUUUAUAGGGCGGCCAGGGGCGUAAGGUCGGCCGCCGUGGCGGGUGCGGUUGGGGGGUUGGCGGCAGCCGCGGCAGUUGCUGGGAAGCAGGCGCUGAAGCGAUACGUGCCGGUCUAGGGUUUUGAGUCACCAGGGAUUUUUUAAGGACUACCUGGCUGCUACUUGAGGACUGAGUGAUGAGCACAACAAAAUUGGAGUAGUGGCACACAUCAUUUUGUACUCAAGAUUUAGGCUGUCGUUGGGUGCCAAAUGUGCUUCGUGAAGCAAACGGCAUCUAUUUGCGAGGCAUCCUGGCGUCAACUUUGCUGGACAAGAAGUGGAAAAGAAAAAGGCAUACAUCAUUAUGGGAAUGAAGGAACAGGAAAUGAUGAAGAGCUAAGAGUGUACCUAUUCGCAAUCUUGGUCACUUUUUAGUCAUCUGAUUUCUACAUUUGGAUUCCAAAAUAUUUAUUAGUUCUUUCUGUUAAACAUUUGAGUGAAAUUCGUCAUUUUAUAGUAGAGCCGUACUUCAAGACA